rnacentral:rRNA from 1 species
CCUACGGGAGGCAGCAGUAGGGAAUUUUCCACAAUGGGCGCAAGCCUGAUGGAGCAACACCGCGUGAGUGAAGAAGGGUUUCGGCUCGUAAAGCUCUGUUGUUAAAGAAGAACACGUAUGAGAGUAACUGUUCAUACGUUGACGGUAUUUAACCAGAAANUCACAACU